rnacentral:misc_RNA from 1 species
GUGAAUCAUCGAAUCUUUGAACGCAAAUUGCACUCUCCGGUUUUCCGGGGGAGUAUGCCUGUUCGAGGGUCAGCCUAAAAAAAUCGACGUAGUCGCUGUUUCGCGGUGACAUUCGUCGGAAAUUGGGUCAUCUUAAACCUUUGGGUUUUUUAAGCGGCUUAAAAUUUUCUUUACGAUUCAACGAACGUUUCUAAGAUUUUACUUCUUACACACGUUUAAGGUAUCGAUCUUUAUUAGACGUGGCCGUUGCAUCGGAUAGAGUCAAUAAAUAUUUCGUGUACUGAC